UUGCAUUUUCAAUAGCGGAGGAAAAGAAACCAACAGGGAUUGCCCUAGUAACGGCGAGUGAAGCGGCAACAGCUCAAAUUUGAAAUCUGGCGUCUUCGGCGUCCGAGUUGUAAUUUGCAGAGGGCGCUUUGGCAUUGGCAGCGGUCCAAGUUCCUUGGAACAGGACGUCACAGAGGGUGAGAAUCCCGUACGUGGUCGCUAGCCUUUACCGUGUAAAGCCCCUUCGACGAGUCGAGUUGUUUGGGAAUGCAGCUCUAAAUGGGAGGUAAAUUUCUUCUAAAGCUAAAUACUGGCCAGAGACCGAUAGCGCACAAGUAGAGUGAUCGAAAGAUGAAAAGCACUUUGGAAAGAGAGUUAAAAAGCACGUGAAAUUGUUGAAAGGGAAGCGCUUGCAGCCAGACUUGCCUGUAGUUGCUCAUCCGGGUUUCUACCCGGUGCACUCUUCUACGGGCAGGCCAGCAUCAGUUUGGGCGGUUGGAUAAAGGUCUCUGUCAUGUACCUCUCUUCGGGGAGAACUUAUAGGGGAGACGACAUGCAACCAGCCUGGACUGAGGUCCGCGCAUCUGCUAGGAUGCUGGCGUAAUGGCUGUAAGCGGCCCGUCUUAACACCCGGAACCA
rnacentral:rRNA from 1 species